rnacentral:rRNA from 1 species
UACGUAGGGUGCGAGCGUUGUCCGGAAUUAUUGGGCGUAAAGGGCUCGUAGGCGGUCUGUCACGUCGGGAGUGAAAACUCAGGGCUUAACCCUGAGCCUGCUUCCGAUACGGGCAGACUAGAGGUAUGCAGGGGAGAACGGAAUUCCUGGUGUAGCGGUGAAAUGCGCAGAUAUCAGGAGGAACACCGGUGGCGAAGGCGGUUCUCUGGGCAUUACCUGACGCUGAGGAGCGAAAGUGUGGGGAGCAAACAGG